AUCUAUUUAGUAUAAUGUACGUUUGACUUCCAAUCAGAAAGUCCCCCCCACAGGAAUAGAUA
rnacentral:tRNA from 1 species